rnacentral:rRNA from 1 species
CAUGCAGGCGGUCGGACGCGUUUUGUGUGACAGCGGGUGGCUUAACUACCCGAGUAUGCGAAAGACGGUUUGACUUGAGGGCUCGGAGAGGGACACGGAAUUCCGGGUGGAGUGGUGAAAUGCGUAGAGAUCCGGAGGAACACCGAAGGCGAAGGCAGUGUCCUGGCGAGUGACUGACGCUGAGGUGCGAAAGCUAGGGAGCGAACG